UUUGUCGUUGAAUGGGAUGUUGGGAGAUGCAACUUGAUUGGAGGAGUCAGGUCCCUCGGGCCGUGUCCUCGAGGGGCGUGUCUCCUUCCCCUGCUCCUCCCUUCCUUUCACCCUCCUGAUUCCCCACAGUCAUGGGUUGAGCAGCUGUCCUGCACCAUGUUUCUCUGCCCUGGACCUGCCUUGGAGCCAGCUGACUAUGGACUGAAAGGGGAGCCAAAAUAAACCUCCCCUUCCUUGGAGUUGCAGGUGUCAGGCACUGAACAACAUGCGGUGGGUACAGAAAUUAUUAAAUAGGACCACUGAGCAUGUGUACUGCACAACCCAGUAAAGACGGAGGGAUCAAACAGGACCUUGUGCUUGCAAGGCAGGCGGCAGAGCCACUGAGCUGAGCUAAAUCCCUGGCCCAGGUUCAAGUUCAGAGAGGGAACAGCUGUACAGAGUCAGCAGUCUCCUGAGUGAAAAAGGAGCCAAGAGUUGAGAAUGACUAGGUGACUGGUGUUGGAGGGUAAAGUACCAGAAAGCUUUGAAAGAAUGCUGGAAAGAUCUGAAUGAAUCUUGGGGUAGGACACUGUGGCUUCACUGAAGUGUAGCUGUGCUGUUCCAGCCAGAACCAGAUGAACUGUAGUGUUCUGCGCCUGAGUCCUUCUUCCAGGCCACAGAGACGCCAUCCAGGGGAAGAGCUACCCAGUGACGGCCACCGCUACAGCCCGGCUUCCUGCCUGGUCACAGUUUGAGGCAGCAGGAAAAUUGCCAAUCUUGGUUAAACGAUUGCAUUUGCUGUGGACAUUGGAAUGCACUGUCUGUGGGAGAUUUGGAGCCGAUAGUCAAGAUCUCUGUAAAUGCAUCCUGCUCAGAAAGACGCUGUGUUCCCUUAGCUUCUUGAGAGUGGAUCUGAAUCGGUAUUUAAAGCCUGGACACUCUAGUCAGAAAACCAGGUCUGAACCCCAGCUUUGUCAUUUACAAGCUGUCUGCCUUUGAAGAAACCCCAGAAUGUCUGCCAGUGAGCAGCAACAGAGAAGAAUCAAGGAUUAUAGUAUACUGAGGAUUCAUUCCUGCGCCCCGUCCCUAAAAAUGAGGAUUUCUCCAAAACAGCACUAAACUCUUCUUCCACCUGCCUGUCAGUUCUUCACCGUGAAAAACUUGCUGCUGUUUAAAAACAACAACAAAAAAUCCUGUUGAAAUACUCUGAAAUCACAAUCCUGGCUAGUGUGAGUUGCAGGUUACAAGGCUCAAUUAUUCGUUUAGCAGGAUCACUAUCAGCAGAGUGACUAGAGUCCACUUUCACAAUUGUUGCCUUCACAAUGAAUUACUUGGGAUGAAAAUCUUUGCCCAAUCAGAAAAUAGAUAAACAUUUUCAUCAAGGAAUAACAAGUGUUAGUAUUGAGUAUAUCACUCUGUGGAUUUAGCUUUAUUUUCACCUUUUCUGCAGAGGGAACUUGGAUUGAGGGGAGGAGCUCUGGAGUUGGGGCGGGACCCAAAAGAGGGAUGAAUUGGGAAACAAAGUGCGACACCCCUGCUGCACAGUAUGAGGGGCCAUUCUGGUCCCUGGAACGACACCUGCCCUUCAUCUUUGUGGUCCUACUGAACAGUACAUUUUGGGGCACAAAACAUUUAACAUUACAAGUUUUCCUGUGCGGGGGAGAAGUUCCAUUGCUAGGACCACCGGGGAAACCCCAAGGUGCCACAAGUACUUCCAGAGUGUGGCCCCAGGGCCUGCUUUUAUAUUUGCAAGAUUUGCUGCCUCUCUGUGAAAACUCUUAUUCAUUCCGAGAACAUUUAUGGAAGGGAUUUGUGACUUACCUGAUUCUGUGUCAGGCAGUGAGGUGAAUGUAAAGAUGAUGACAGAUGCUAGGAGGGGGACUUCUCCCUGCCUGAGGAGCCAGGCGAGUGAACAGAAGUAGGUCACUGUGAUUCAAAGGUAGGACAUUGCCAUGCACAAAUUAUCCUGGGACGACAAGGAAGGUGAAAAGAAUUUGCUAUGUUGUGAGCUUUUACUGUGUGGCAGGCCCUGGGCAUGGGAGUGGGGACUGAAAAGGAAACAGAAAAGUGGGACAAUAGAUGGGUAGAUAAGUUACGAUGGAAUCUGAUGGAAAUGCCACUCCUGGGAAUGGCUCAGGAACUGCUGCUCAGCACAGAAAGGGCAGAGGGGAGUGGUGCUAGUGAUGCCCUGGAGAGGAACCUGGAGUUGGGUCAUUCUUCUGUCCAUAGGUGGGACCCACCCAGGCUCCAUUACAGAAGCCACACAUCAUUAGAAUGAUGAUGUAAAACCAUAACUCUGAGGACUGCGUGGAGCAUGGGUUGCAUAGGGGAAACGGGAGAGUUCAGUUAGGAGCAACUGGCAGUUGCCAAGACAAGAAAUAAUGAGG
ensembl:lncRNA